CACGAUCACGAUCACGUGACCAAGGCUGCAAAACUGCGACUAGAAAUAAUCGUGGAAAUAGCUAAAAAUCACAUUGUCAGGGGGUAUUUUUGGCUGUCGCCGCUUCAAUAGCCAAAGCGACAAAACAAACCCAAAAAUAUCCACACAUCCACCGGUUGAUGAUAGUCCCCAUUCCCUAUAGACCAAAUUCGAUGCGUAGUAGCCACGCGGCCAAUAAGAAAUUUCAAUUAUUUUGCCAACAAACGACAUCGGGCAUGUUUCCAUCAACCAAUUCGAUUCCUGAUUGAAGGUGGCGCCAAUCUACAAAACGGCGUAACAAAUUGAGUGUUUCUAAUCUUGACUACCUUUAAGGCAUUUUAGGGUAAUGCCAGCAAAUUACGAAACUAAUUAAAUACAACAAGUUGUUAUGCUGAGCCGUUUUAUGAUCUUUUUAAAUAGCUGCCUGCAUCCACAGUAAACAAUUGCUAAUCAGUUACAUUUUUGUAAAGUAUGUAAUAUAUAUUAAUUUGUUUUGAAAUAGUGGAUCCAUUUGUGAAACAUUAAUUUUUGUUUUAAUCUAUAUUUUUAGAUUUUAAAAUUCAGCGUAAACCGUUAAUGCAAUAUCAAUUUAAUUUUGUUAUCAAGCUCGUCCAACCGAUUUAUUUAUACUAUUAUUGAAGCUCCCUAUCUAGAAAAUCCCACUUAAAAUUAAUCAUUUAUAAUCUGAAUUCUGUUGAAAUCAUUUUGAAAUAAUGCACACAAAUUACGAAGCAAAUAAAAUAAAGCCAUUUGUAAAUUUUAAAAUUACUUAGUUUGCACAUUGUACGUGUUUAUGGUAUGACUCACGUUGACAAAGUUUUCCAUUGAAACAUUUCCGAUCACAAGGGGAAACCCACGAGAGCUUUUCUGUAUGAGGAAAUUUUGAAUAAACAAACACAUUUCCUUUCGGUUCUCUAUAUUUUUGAAUGUUAAAAUACCAAACAUAAAGCUUAAUAUGUACUUGUUGUGGAAGUAAUAAAAAAAAACGAUAUAUUUUGAUGCUUCUCAACAAAUUUUUAUUUUUAAUACACGAAGGGUCGAGCAUUUAAUAGAUACAAAAUAUGUGGGUGUAAAUGUAAAAAUACAUUUUAUUGGCAGUAUUUGUAUCUACACAUUUCUACAUUCAUUUGACUUAUUGUAGAUGAUUACAUUUAGUAGAUUACAAAUGUAAUAAUAAUUUGUUAAUAAGAUUUCUGAAUUGUUGGGGUGUUUUGGGGUGUUAUAGAAACCUUUUUCGCUCAAAUUUCUACCGAAAGUAGGAACAUUUAAAUUAGUUGAUAAAUUUCUUAAAGAUAUUUGAUUUAUUUCAUAAAAAACGUUGUGUAUAUAAGGCUCCUCCUGCCAGAACCACUGCCAAUAAAGUGGCGCCUGAAACACGUUUUAGAAGCUGAUCCUGCCACUUUCUAUUGGCAAUGCACUGGCUAUAAGGCAUACUGGAAAAGGACACGCUAUUAUAGAGAGGAAUCCAGCCCGGAAACAAACGGAAAAGCAGAGUGUCCAGCCAUUUUCGGAGCUUAAAGGACCAGCGUUUGGUCAAAUCGCGCAUCUGAAAAAAUAUUGUACAUGGCCAGAUCGCAAAUGGCAAAGGCAUCCUGCCAGCGGGACUCAGUAAACUGGGCCAAAGCCUCGUCCAGCGGCAACUGUUUGGC